CGCGUAUAAUUCUGGCUGGUUCUAAUUAGUAUUCGGCUGUAGCGCCACAAACGAUAGUUAUUAUAAUCGGUUGCGUCACAUGAGCCGCGUGCUAACUAGAGCCAGGAAGACUUGCGGUUCAUUUUCCAGCUGGUAGAGGAGGUGUCCUAAUUAUCACCUGCAGUGGUGAUUCAGUAAAAUCGUAGCCAGACACAAAAACGCAUUUUUGUCAAAUGCCAAUCUUGUUUGCUACCAGUUUCGUACACCAAAAUAUCUGUUUUAACACCAUGAUUCAACCAUCCCAACCACGAUAUUUCAGCGUCAAUCACCAAUAUUUCCCAGCAGCAACAAAUUAAGACCAUCAUCCGUCCGAUCGUUCUAACGGCGGUUCUGCCAAAGGAUUUGACGUUAAUUAAAUAACCGCUACUAGAUGACCAUUGGCAAACAGCACAAGCUGCAGCAGAAACCACAAACUGGAAUAUCAUCCAGAUUCCGCAGCAGCAGAUACAGCAACAGCACCUUGAGGUACACACAACAGCAACAGUAUACAGCACAGUUCUAAGAAGCGGGAGCAUCUGAGGAAUCACUGUUCAACUUGUGUAUCAGCCGUAGCCAGCUAAUUUUUUUAAUUUCAAGAACAUCAGUACCUUGAUCAAUCGAAUUGGCCACAAAUCGCUCGACAGCAGCAACAGGACACCAAACACAACGGCAAGGUGCUCUGAACAUUUUCUGUCAAAACACGUUCUCCAGACAAACGGUAAUCAAGGGUUGGUGGAAUCGCAGAUCAUGCUCACGAAGAAAACUCGCAGCUCAUUAUUAUCCCAUUUUAUUCCAACAGCAAAAUGAAAUCAAUGAAUAUUGAAAAAAAUGUAAAAGGGAGUAUAGUUGUUAUUGAUAUGGAGAAAUGAGUUGAAAUGAUUUGAACGAGAGGUCAGAGACGAUAUGGUGAAAGAAUGUUAGUGUAGCAUUCUUUUCUAAUCCUGCUUAGAAAGGUGGCCUGGAGUAUGAUUUUUCAUGUCAGUCAGCUUGCUCGGUUUAUGCUGCUUAGAAAUAACGGCAAGUGAAGUGUAUAAAUGGAUAACAUGCAAGCUAUUGAACCGUCUCAAUUUGUGUACCUUUUUCGUGCUGAACAGUAUCUUAGGGUGCUUACAGAGUGGCGGCGAGAAGCUGAGCUGGGGCUGGAACUGACAUUAGAAUGCGAGAUGCGAGAAACCUGCUUGCUGCAAACCAAAGGGAUGAUG